rnacentral:rRNA from 1 species
UUUUUCGCAUGAAGAACUAAUUAAAGGAGUAAUCCGCUUUGAGAUGGACCCGCGGCGCAUUAGCUAGUUGGUGAGGUAAAGGCUCACCAAGGCGACGAUGCGUAGCCGACCUGAGAGGGUGAUCGGCCACAUUGGAACUGAGACACGGUCCAGACUCCUACGGGAGGCAGCAGUGGGGAAUAUUGCACAAUGGGCGAAAGCCUGAUGCAGCAACGCCGCGUGAGUGAUGAAGGCCUUCGGGUUGUAAAGCUCUGUCUUUUGGGACGAUAAUGACGGUACCAAAGGAGGAAGCCACGGCUAACUACGUGCCAGCAGCCGCGGUAAUACGUAGGUGGCGAGCGUUGUCCGGAUUUACUGGGCGUAAAGGAUGCGUAGGCGGAUAUUUAAGUGAGAUGUGAAAUACCCGAGCUUAACUUGGGUGCUGCAUUUCAAACUGGAUAUCUAGAGUG